rnacentral:misc_RNA from 1 species
UAGACAAAAAAAUUUUACUCAAACUUCAUAGAAUAGAUACAAACCUCAUUAUGGAUAUAUAAGUUACAUCAUCUUACUUGAAAUCCAGAUGAUAGAUACGUGUAUAUACAAAUCAAAAUCAUAAUACAAUCGGUAUACAAAGAGGACACUCCUGAUUCAUAGCAGGAUAAUUCACUCUUACCAAAAUUGGCAGAAAAUACACUAAAUUGGUGGUUUGAGUUUUUCCUCAAACCCCCAAUGGCCUUUAAUGACGGCCACACCAAAGGCAUGACAUUCAUACAUUAAACAACUUUAUUAAUCCACGUACAAGACAGAGAUCAUGAAACUUAAAAGUUGUCAAAUCUGACCGGCAAAUAAGAUCACAGGAGAGUUCCUUCAUUCAAUAGAUAGAUAAAUAUUUAGAUGUUGAUGAGCAGGGAAUUUCAACUGCAAUAAUAAAGAUGGCAGUAUAUUGCCCAAACAUGACGAACGGUAUUAGAAAAACAGCUUCCAACAGAGCAUAAACUAGCUCUAAUCUGCCCCAAGUCCUCUCCCAA